AAUUUCUAACGGAGUGAUAACUC
rnacentral:snRNA from 1 species